rnacentral:rRNA from 1 species
UAACGCGUAGGUAACCUGCCUUGUAGCGGGGGAUAACUAUUGGAAACGAUAGCUAAUACCGCAUAACAAUGGGUGACUCAUGUCAUUUAUUUGAAAGGGGCAAAUGCUCCACUACAAGAUGGACCUGCGUUGUGUUAGCUAGUAGGUGAGGUAACGGCUCACCUAGGCGACGAUACAUAGCCGACCUGAGAGGGUGAUCGGCCACACUGGGACUGAGACACGGCCCAG